CCCGGAGCUCAUGAGCAGGUUUCCUUGCGCAGGGAACUGAAGCAAAGAAGCGCUCCGGCACUGCUCUCCUGCCGCUCAGGGAUGUCCAAUCUGCAGGGUUACAAUGUUUUAAGGUGGAGAGUGGAGGAUGCAGUACACAACCAAUCUUUAAUGUCCAAGUCCCGGAGCUGGCUGAGGAACCCUGAAUUUGGGCAGAUGUCUCUGUGAGCACUCACUGUUUUCAGAGCAUCCACGAGUGUCAUGUUUUC